rnacentral:rRNA from 1 species
AUUGAACGCUGGCGGCAGGCCUAACACAUGCAAGUCGAGCGAGCGGCGGACGGGUGAGUAAUGUAUGGGGAUCUGCCUGAUGGAGGGGGAUAACUACUGGAAACGGUAGCUAAUACCGCAUACUAUCGGAUGUACCCAAAUGUGAUUAGCUAGUUGGUGGGGUAAUGGCUCACCAAGGCGACACUCCCUAGCUGGUCUGAGCGGAUGAUCGGCCACCCUGGAACUGAGACACGGCCCAGAAUCCUACGUGAGGCAGCAGUGGGGAAGAUUGCACAAUGGGCGCAAGCCUGAUGCAGCCAUGCCGCGUGUGUGAAGAAGGCCUUAGGGUUGUAAAGCACUUUCAUCGGGGAGGCGUUACCCGAAGAAGAAGCACCGGCUAACUCCGUGCCAGCAGCCGCGGUAAUUC